rnacentral:piRNA from 2 species
UCUAAGGCGCUGGAUUUAGGCUCCAG